rnacentral:lncRNA from 1 species
UGAUUGUUGCAAAAUGUUCUUAUGUGAGCCCUACUCCCUUGACUCCUGUUUGUGUAUGAGUUGUGUUUUACACUAGGAUGGCAGUCCAUUGCUAUCCAUAGUUUAGAACCAGGUUUCACUCAACCUAUACUCAAAGUAAUCCCACUCCCUUAACCCCCCAUUAUGUGUCGAGCUUUGACUCAGGUCUGUUGGUGCCCUAAUCACCAUGCAGACCUAAGUGUGACUUUUUUAAAUCUGCUCUAAUUUGUUAAACCAUGUUAGGGUCAGGGGCGU